rnacentral:rRNA from 1 species
GAUGAACGCUGGCGGCGUGCUUAACACAUGCAAGUCGAACGGAAAGGCUCCUGCUUGCAGGGGUACUCGAGUGGCGAAAGGGUGAGUAACACGUGGGUGAUCUGCCCUGCACUUCGGGAUAAGCCUGGGAAACUGGGUCUAAUACCGGAUAGGACCACAUUUUGGAUGGUGUGGUGGAAAGUUUUUCGGUGUGGGAUGAGCUCGCGGCCUAUCAGCUUGUUGGUGGGGUAAUGGCCUACCAAGGCGUCGACGGGUAGCCGGCCUGGGAGGGUGUACGGCCACAUUGGGACUGAGAUACGGCCCAGACUCCUGCGGGAGGCAGCAGUGGGGAAUAUUGCACAAUGGGCGCAAGCCUGAUGCAGCGACGCCGCGUGGGGGAUGACGGCCUUCGGGUUGUAAUCUCCUUUCGCUAGGGACGAAGCGCAGGUGACGGUACCUGGAGAAGAAGCACCGGCUAACUACGUG